rnacentral:rRNA from 1 species
UACGAAGGGGGCUAGCGUUGCUCGGAAUCACUGGGCGUAAAGGGUGCGUAGGCGGGUCUUUUAGUCAGGGGUGAAAUCCUGGAGCUCAACUCCAGAACUGCCUUUGAUACUGAGGAUCUUGAGUUCGGGAGAGGUGAGUGGAACUGCGAGUGUAGAGGUGAAAUUCGUAGAUAUUCGCAAGAACACCAGUGGCGAAGGCGGCUCACUGGCCCGAUACUGACGCUGAGGCACGAAAGCGUGGGGAGCAAACAGG